AUUCAAGUCAUGUUCAUUUCAAUAUAUUCAAUCAAGUCCAGUCAUUUUCAAUCCAUACAUUCGAUACCAUACAAUAUUAUUCAAUUUCAUUACAAAUAUAAUUUCCAUUCACGAAUUGUUCACUUCAUUACAAGAAUGUCCAUAUUCGUACAAAAAUUUAAAUUUGGCCAACAUUGACUACAAUUGACUUUUGGUCAACAAUUGACUUUUUGGUCAACUAGUUGACCAAAGUCAACCGACCCUCCCUAGACCCCCUAAGACCUAUUUCCAUCUAUCUUGCCUUUAGUCAUCAACAAAAUCCAUGCUUUCCUUUAAUUUCUUCAUGGCCAAGUACCUUGGUCCAUGACCAGGUCAGACCACCAGAUGGACCAGGUCACAAACCACCAAAUGGACUUUGUAGCAGACCAGCACACAUGAAGCAACAACCAUGCCAAACCUUGCCAUUGAGUAAGCUUGCACCAAAAAACCAUCACCAAAUUCCAUACCACUCAUGCUUGCAACAUCAAAGCCAAGAACCAAGACUUACACCAAGUGAGCCCAAGGCCUGAACUUACAACAAACAUCUUGUAUGCAAUACAAGUGGACCUGCAUUAAAACCAAUUGGCCAACAUGCCAAGCCACAUAACAUGAAGCUGACCAAGCAAUGGCAUAAACUUCCAAGCCUUGCAUCAUUCUAAGAAACAAACGUCUUGCCUGCAUACCAAGAGUUAUAGUCAUGAACACAAAACCACAAUUAUCCAAGACCUGCUGCAAACCACAUUAGCCAACCAGACUUUCCAGUCAUGACCUUAUAUCAGACAUUGCACACAACAUGCUUGCAUUAGGCCAUGCAGCAAACCAUUGAUCUUUCAAUAUACCAAAGCAAUAGCAGCCAUGGCAAGUGAACAUGCAACAGUCAAAACCAAGUACAAACCAGAUGCCUGCAACAUGAGGACCAUUGAACUUGUAGCAGUCCAAACAUUACCAAGCUCAUGAAACAUUCAACAGCAACAAAUUCCGAUUAACACAUAACAAAGCAAACACAUCAAUUCACGACUAUCACUAACUAACAUUGCCACCUCACUAAUUGAACCUAAAUGUUGCCAGUUGUAAUGCCUUGAGUUCAGCAAAAUUAAAACAGUUACACAUAACCAACUUGCUUCGAUUUCAGUUGCAUCUAACUUCUGCAACAGAAUUCUAGAAUCCCAAGGUCCUAACACCUUAUAACUAACACAUCAUUUUAACAUUUCACAUUUACUAACAGGAUUUCGAUUUCCCUAACUAACUAGAAUUUGCAUUUACUAACAGGAUUAACAACAUUUCAUUUCAUUCCAAUUUCACUCUUACAUUUUUUUAAUUUCUAACUAACUCAAUGUGAAUUUCAGUUGAAUUUGCAUUUGCAUUUCUAACAUAAAUAUGAGAACCAAAACUCUAUAAUUACCAAUCAUUCUUCA
rnacentral:lncRNA from 1 species